rnacentral:rRNA from 1 species
AGAACGAACGCUGGCGGCAUGCCUAACACAUGCAAGUCGAACGCUCUUGGUUUCGGCCAAGGGAGUGGCGCACGGGUGAGUAACGCGUGGGAACCUGCCCUGGAGUGGGGGAUAACCGAGGGAAACCUCGGCUAAUACCGCAUACGACCUGAGGGUGAAAGAUUUAUCGCUCUAGGAGGGGCCCGCGUCGGAUUAGCUAGUUGGUGAGGUAACGGCCCACCAAGGCUAUGAUCCGUAGCUGGUCUGAGAGGAUGAUCAGCCACACUGGGACUGAGACACGGCCCAGACUCCUACGGGAGACAGCAGUGGGGAAUAUUGGACAAUGGGCGCAAGCCUGAUCCAGCAAUGCCGCGUGAGUGAUGAAGGCCUUAGGGUUGUAAAGCUCUUUCACACGCGACGAUGAUGACGGUAGCGUGAGAAGAAGCCCCGGCUAACUUCGCGCCAGCAGCCGC